rnacentral:rRNA from 1 species
CCCUUAGGUGUCCUGGGCCGCACGCGCGCUACACUGAACGGAUCAGCGCGUUUUCCCUUCCCGAGAGGGACGGGUAACCUGCUGAACCCCGUUCGUGGUAGGGAUCGGGGCUUGCAAUUAUUCCCCGUGAACCAGGAAUGCCCAGUAAGUGCAAGUCAUAAGCUUGCGUUGAUUACGUCCCUGCCCUUUGUACACACCGCCCGUCGCUACUACCGAUUGAACGUUUUAGUGAGGUACUCGGACUGAGCCUCAGAAGAUUCACGUCUUUUGUGCUGCUCGGGAAGAUUCCCAAACUUGAGCGUUUAGAGGAAGUAAAAGUCGUAACA